GACGAACGCUGGCGGCGUGCUUAACACAUGCAAGUCGAACGGAAAGGCCCUGCUUUUGUGGGGUGCUCGAGUGGCGAACGGGUGAGUAACACGUGAGUAACCUGCCCUUGACUUUGGGAUAACUUCAGGAAACUGGGGCUAAUACCGGAUAGGAGCUCAUGCUGAAUGGUGGGGGUUGGAAAGUUUCGGCGGUUGGGGAUGGACUCGCGGCUUAUCAGCUUGUUGGUGGGGUAGUGGCUUACCAAGGCUUUGACGGGUAGCCGGCCUGAGAGGGUGACCGGCCACAUUGGGACUGAGAUACGGCCCAGACUCCUACGGGAGGCAGCAGUGGGGAAUAUUGCACAAUGGGCGGAAGCCUGAUGCAGCAACGCCGCGUGCGGGAUGACGGCCUUCGGGUUGUAAACCGCUUUCGCCUGUGACGAAGCGUGAGUGACGGUAAUGGGUAAAGAAGCACCGGCUAACUACGUG
rnacentral:rRNA from 1 species